rnacentral:rRNA from 2 species
UACGGGGGGGCAAGCGUUGUUCGGAAUUACUGGGCGUAAAGGGCUCGUAGGCGGCCAACUAAGUCGGAUGUGAAAUCCCCAGGCUCAACUUGGGAACUGCAUCCGAUACUGGAUGGCUUGAAUCCGGGAGAGGGAUGCAGAAUUCCAGGUGUAGCGGUGAAAUGCGUAGAUAUCUGGAGGAAUACCGGUGGCGAAGGCGGCAUCCUGGACCGGCAUUGACGCUGAUGAGCGAAAGCUAGGGGAGCAAACGGG